GAUGAACGCGGCGGCGUGCCUAAUACAUGCAAGUCGAGCGAACGGACGAGAAGCUUGCUUCUCUGAUGUUAGCGGCGGACGGGUGAGUAACACGUAGAUAACCUACCUAUAAGACUGGGAUAACUUCGGGAAACCGGAGCUAAUACCGGAUGAUAUUUUGAACCGCAUGGUUCAAAAGUGAAAGACGGUCUUGCUGUCACUUAUAGAUGGAUCCGCGCUGCAUUAGCUAGUUGGUAAGGUAACGGCUUACCAAGGCAACGAUGCAUAGCCGACCUGAGAGGGUGAUCGGCCACACUGGAACUGAGACACGGUCCAGACUCCUACGGGAGGCAGCAGUAGGGAAUCUUCCGCAAUGGGCGAAAGCCUGACGGAGCAACGCCGCGUGAGUGAUGAAGGUCUUCGGAUCGUAAAACUCUGUUAUUAGGGAAGAACAUAUGUGUAAGUAACUGUGCACAUCUUGACGUACCUAAUCAGAAAA
rnacentral:rRNA from 1 species